rnacentral:rRNA from 1 species
UACGUAGGGUGCGAGCGUUAAUCGGAAUUACUGGGCGUAAAGGGUGCGCAGGCGGUUUUGUAAGCCAGAUGUGAAAUCCCCGGGCUCAACCUGGGAAUGGCAUUUGGGACUGCAAGGCUAGAGUGUGGCAGAGGAGACUGGAAUUCCCGGUGUAGCAGUGAAAUGCGCAGAUAUCAGGAGGAACACCGGUGGCGAAGGCGCCGCUCUGGGGCCGAAACUGACGCUGAGGAGCGAAAAGCAUGGGGGAGCGAACAGG